UAGUUAUGUUGGAUAAGUGCUCCUUUGUCUUCGGAUAAAGGGGAGGAAAGUCCGAACAUCAAGCCCAGAUUUAUCUGAGCAAGAGUAGCGGGUAACACCCGUCGAUAGCAAUAUUAGAGGUGCGAGCAGUGACGCCUACGGCGAAAGCCAAAGGAUUCCUUCUGGAAUAAUCUCAUAGAGAUAUGAGGGUGAAACGGCAAAAUCCUUACUUUGAUGCAAGGCCGUGUCCGAGGCAACUCGGAAGUGCCGCUUGAUCGUCGUGGUAACACGAACGACAGAUAAAUACUUAUCGUUUGUCACCAGUUUGGUGAUGAAUACAAAAUUCGGCUUAUAGACAUAAUAAAAAU
rnacentral:RNase_P_RNA from 1 species